rnacentral:rRNA from 1 species
GACGAACGCUGGCGGCGUGCCUAACACAUGCAAGUCGAACGGGACUUGGAGGGCUUGCUCUCCAAGUUUAGUGGCGAACGGGUGAGUAACGCGUGAGAAACCUGCCUUUCAGUGGGGGACAACAGUUGGAAACGACUGCUAAUACCGCAUAAUGUAGCGAGGGGGCAUCCUCUUGCUACCAAAGCUUUAUGUGCUGAAAGAUGGUCUCGCGUCUGAUUAGCUAGUUGGUGGGAUAACGGCUCACCAAGGCGACGAUCAGUAGCCGGUCUGAGAGGAUGAACGGCCACAUUGGGACUGAGAUACGGCCCAGACUCCUACGGGAGGCAGCAGUGGGGAAUUUUGGACAAUGGGCGCAAGCCUGAUCCAGCCAUGCCGCGUGAGUGAAGAAGGCCUUCGGGUUGUAAAGCUCUUUCAGACGGAAAGAAAUCUCUCAGGAUAAUACCUUGGGAGGAUGACGGUACCGUAAGAAGAAGCACCGGCUAACUCUGUGCCAGCCGCCGCCGUAACAC